rnacentral:lncRNA from 1 species
ACGUCCCCGGGAAUAGGGACUUUCCCCCAGAGACUGGAGGACCCCUUCCCCAAGCGUCAGCCCUUUCCAAGGGGUGCCUGCAUUGCUGGAAUUAAAGGCCUGCCAGGGCAAGCGGAUUGGAUCUUGCGGCUGCGGAGAGGAGGCGGUGCGGAGAGGCCCCUGCCUCGCAGGGCUGGCACUGGCCUCACCCUGGGGACGCACAGCGCGACACCGUGCUCGGCUCUGCGGGACACCAGGUCGCACUCAGGCUGGCGGGGCCUUUGCCAGGGAAGCCAUGCCAGCACCCUCGUGGUGUGAGAAGGCAGCAGAGGCUUCCUCAGGCUUGCGAAGCUGGGUUCCACUGGUCCCGCUGGGCUCCUGCUUUCUAGAAUUAUCUGCGCUGCCUCCUCUCCUUGUGGAUUCCACCCCAUGUGUUCCCCCCACACUGGGGCUCCCACUACUGCGAGGAGUGACCCACGAAGGCCACAGAGAUGGCCGGGGCUUCGGUGAAGGUGGCGGUGCGGGUCCGCCCCUUCAAUUCCCGGGAAAUGAGCCGUGACUCCAAGUGCAUCAUUCAGAUGUCUGGAAGCACCACCACCAUUGUUA